AAUUCCAAGGGGUCCGAAUAGAGUUCGGGAAUAUGACGUCGCAAAGCAUCUUGGGAUUUGUGGUGGGCUUACUGGUGGCUUCCUUAAAACCUGCACAGUUUUACAUGUUUUUAGCGUGCAAACUUUCUGGCCAUCAGCAACAAUGGGGCGCAGAUGUUGUGUGGUGGGUUGUGACAGUAAGUCUCACCACUGGUCUGGGAGAAAAAUGACCAACGGGCUAAAAUUGUUUGGUUUUCCCGCUUGGAAAAGACACCAGGGGAACAACAUCUCUGAAAUGACAAAAAGACGCUGAAUGGCUUGGAUUGCUCCCAUUAAACUAAAGUUCGGCAAUAUUCCCAAGAGGAUGUUCGUUUGUUCCAGGCAUUUCCAUAAGGGUGAGUUGCCUUUUUAUUCUUGUUUCUGCCUGUCAAUCGUGAUAUCCUUAGCCCACUAUGGUAGCUAAACAUCUGUCAGUCCCUCUCGUUUGGUUGUCACUGGACCGGAUUUUGUGCUCGUAUGGAUCUAUCCCAUCAAUUAAUCCUAUUUUCUCCAUAUAUCUUUGCUUCACUUCAUUGUUCAGCUUUUCCGGGUAGAUAAUAGCGCAUUUACCUUCAUUUCAGUCCUUUUUUUUAAACGAAAACGAUCUACUACACCAGAUGAUGCGGUUGUUUUCAGGCCACAAACACGGCGGGCGCAUCCCAUAAUCCAUCGCGGUAUGAUGUCCAUUCCCGAACUCUAUACUUUCCGUACCCACUGUAUCUGAGGACACACCGACUCAGUGAACCUAUAGAAGAGCUCUUUUAGGGGUGUGCCCCUCUUUAAACCCCAGAACAAGAUGGCCUCUGCAGGAAGAAGCUCAGGUAUCCACCUGUUUGCUUCCACUUACCCCUGUGAUGACGGCUGAAGAGCCACGCGACACCAGCAACGUGCAGAAGAGCAGCAGGAUGAAGGACCUCAUGAUGAAGAGCUGUCUUUGUUUUACCGAGCCCUCCAGGGUGAAAAGAGAGGAUGCUGAAGCUGACGGACCGCACUGCAUGUGCAUCCGUGACAGACCGCAGAACCAAGUGGCCUCCGAACUCAUGUGCUGAGGGCCGGGCGGAGGUUUAUAAACCCAGCCCGCCAUUCAAAAACUCUCUGACUCACUCACACCAGCAUUGCCUUGCAGAAGCCGUAGGAAGAAAAAAUAAAAAGAAGACGUCCAAGGUAAACUUUGGCAUGACAACAUCCCUGCCUUUCAGUUUUCUUUCCCACUGACAAUGCCCUUUCCCUUGAUCAUUAAACCACGUUUUCAUACCAAAACCAAAGCUCAUCUUGCACUCAGAUAUGCUGAAGCUGUCCAGGGAUCAAUGCUAACAUAUUCAGCGUAGUCUUGUGUCAUAUGUUCGCUGUCCUCCCCCUCUCACCUUUUCAGACUCCAAGGCCACAGUUUUGAUAUAUCCUUUCAAACCUGCUCUUAUCCGUCGUCACAAAGAAAGCAGCUUUGAUUCAUGGACACAAAUUUCUGCGGUCAGUACGCUCAUGAAAACAGACUCUGGAGUCACAACAAUGGUCAUUAUUGCAGGGAGACAAUGCAUCAGGGUCCCAUUGUUAUCGCUAAUUAACUGUGUUGGCCUCUUACACUGUAUGAUGUUGGUUCAGAGUUAGAUCAGCCUAUGACGUGCUUACGUGGUACUAUCCUAAUGCUUCUGUGUGGUUGAAUGAACAUCUGAAAGUUUUCUGCCAUUCAUUUUAGUCCAGUCAUUAAAAAAAAGUCAGGAUGGCAUCUCCUGCAUUCUAAUUUCAAUAAUAUUCAGAAAUAUUAGCAGGUUUGAAUUUCUUAGAUGUGAGAAAUUGCUGGGAUUUUUGGACAGCCCUUGACAGAGAAUGUUUGACAGCUAUUUUCAAUGAUUUUGUAGCUUUCUGUAGACUGAAAGACCUCAACGGUUAAUCAAUAACGACAAUAUUCUUAUGAGUGCUCCAUAAUAGUGUUGCUGAACAGUUUUUCGGCCAGUUAGUACUGUUAUACUGUAACGUGUCAGAAAUUUGAAAGGUGAUAAUUGAUAAAAUUGAAGUUCAAAACCUGAUGUGUUGCAAAGAAAUCCAGAUGACUGACUGAGCAACACGUGGAGGCCCGGGUUUGUUGUAGGGAAGAAAUGAGUGCAAUCGCCUGAAGUCGCGUGUUUGAGAACAGCGGCCCCUCAUAUGUAGCUGACUGACAUGGCCAAUCAACACUUUGUGAGCUAAAUCUGUCUUCAUCACAGCUCGACGGACUGACACUGACAUCUGAGUCACACAGAAAGUCAAGAGUCCAGCAUGCAGGAGUGUCUUGUGUGUGUGUUUGAUUCAUCGUGCAAAGAGAUGCAAGUUUAUUUGUACAAUAUCACUGAUUUAAAAAGUUUCAAAGUGGACAAAGCCGGGGUGUAGUUUAAAGUAACUCACACGCUGAAAUCAGCAAAGUCACCUGUUGUGUCUGUAGCUAGAGUCACACUUGUUUGACAACUUUCUGCUCCUAUUGAUGUAUUUAUAUUUAGAUUUUUCAGAUGACUUCACAACCAUUAAAUUCAGCCAACCUGCCUGUCCUCCUAAGGUUCAACCAGCUGAUUCUUAAAGGAGAGACCAAUUGAGAUUCUAAUUUACUUUUUAUUCUCCAAAUAAAUCAGAGAACUGCUUUUC